CAUUAAGACUGAGACCUCCAAUAAU
rnacentral:piRNA from 1 species